UACAGAGGUCUCAAGCGUUGUUCGGAUUUAUUGGGCGUAAAGAGCGUGUAGGCGGCCAUACAGGUCCGUUGUGAAAACUCGAGGCUUAACCUCGAGACGUCGAUGGAAACCGUAUGGCUAGAGUCCGGAAGAGGAGAGUGGAAUUCCUGGUGUAGCGGUGAAAUGCGCAGAUAUCAGGAAGAACACCCGUGGCGAAGGCGGCUCUCUGGGACGGUACUGACGCUGAGACGCGAAAGCGUGGGGAGCAAACAGG
rnacentral:rRNA from 1 species